AUUGAACGCUGGCGGCAGGCUUAACACAUGCAAGUCGAGCGGGGUGAUGGUGCUUGCACUAUCACUUAGCGGCGGACGGGUGAGUAAUGCUUAGGAAUCUGCCUAUUAGUGGGGGACAACAUCUCGAAAGGGAUGCUAAUACCGCAUACGUCCUACGGGAGAAAGCAGGGGAUCACUUGUGACCUUGCGCUAAUAGAUGAGCCUAAGUCGGAUUAGCUAGUUGGUGGGGUAAAGGCCUACCAAGGCGACGAUCUGUAGCGGGUCUGAGAGGAUGAUCCGCCACACUGGGACUGGGACACGGCCCAGACUCCUACGGGAGGUAGCAGUGGGGAAUAUUGGACAAUGGGGGGAACCCUGAUCCAGCCAUGCCGCGUGUGUGAAGAAGGCCUUAUGGUUGUAAAGCACUUUAAGCGAGGAGGGGGCUCUUUUGGUUAAUACCCAAGAUGAGUGGACGUUACUCGCAGAAUAAGCACCGGCUAACUCUGUGCCAGCCGCCGCGGUAA
rnacentral:rRNA from 1 species